UUUUUAAACACGCCAGUAAAAAAUACUGCCAGUCCUAAGCCUGGAAAAGUGUGAAGGGACG
rnacentral:ribozyme from 2 species